rnacentral:rRNA from 1 species
AUUGAACGCUGGCGGCAUGCCUUACACAUGCAAGUCGAACGGCAGCGCGGACUUCGGUCUGGCGGCGAGUGGCGAACGGGUGAGUAAUACAUCGGAACGUACCCUGUUGUGGGGGAUAACUAGUCGAAAGAUUAGCUAAUACCGCAUACGACCUGAGGGUGAAAGUGGGGGACCGCAAGGCCUCACGCAGCAGGAGCGGCCGAUGUCUGAUUAGCUAGUUGGUGGGGUAAAGGCCCACCAAGGCGACGAUCAGUAGCUAGUCUGAGAGGACGAUCAGCCACAGUGGGACUGAGACACGGCCCAGACUCCUACGGGAGGCAGCAGUGGGGAAUUUUGGACAAUGGGGGCAACCCUGAUCUAGCAAUGCCGCGUGUGUGAAGAAGGCCUUCGGGUUGUAAAGCACUUUUGUCCGGAAAGAAAUCGCGCUGGUUAAUACCUGGCGUGGAUGACGGUACCGGAAGAAUAAGCACCGGCUAACUACGUG